rnacentral:pre_miRNA from 1 species
CAUGUACUUCCUCCAUCCGGAAAUACUUGUCGGAGAAGUGGAUGUAUCUAGAUGUAUUUUAAUUUUAGAUACAUCCAUUUUUAUGCAUUUCUCUGACGAGUAUUUCCGGACAGAGGGAGUAGUAC